UGAAAAUCUGCAGAGUACGAAAAUCCUGUGAGGAGGGAGGCAGGGGAUGAGGCAAUUUGUAACCUACCUGCACAUGCCAGUUAUCAGGAUCAUCUUCAUUGGACACAUACAAUAAGGGGUCAUCUCCAGGAACCACAGUGUGAACCCCAUUUUCUGGAACAGGAUAUUUAGGACUAGCAAUCCAUGAGAUUCGCUUUUCUCCAUCGUUGCUCAAAGUUGAGCAAAACAUCAUAUGCAGCGGGACCUUCAAUUUUGCAAUAAUCAGAAAGUUAUAUAACAGAACAGAUUUUACAGAAACGGAAGAUGAGAUUGUAUAGGCACUCACGGGGAAUGUAGGUUGGUGAAAAUCGUCCUUAAAUACACUGUCAAGAUCAUGAAAUAACCUAUGUUCAGGCUAAGUUUACCGCUUCCAUAACGAGGUGAGAGCACACACUGCACAGAUGAAUGCUUGAAAAACUUUCUAGUUUCUUCAUCAUGAGUUUGCAUUACUCCAGGCUGCAUCAUUUACCCAAAUGAAACCUUUAAUUUUAACCAGUACGUUUAUUUUAUGUAUAGAAAACCGAACG